rnacentral:rRNA from 1 species
CUACGGGAGGCAGCAGUGGGGAAUUUUGGACAAUGGGGGCAACCCUGAUCCAGCCAUUCCGCGUGAGUGAAGAAGGCCUUCGGGUUGUAAAGCUCUUUCGGCCGGGAAGAAAUCGUGCGGGCCAAUACCCUGUAUGGAUGACGGUACCGGAAGAAGAAGCACCGGCUAACUACGUGCCAGCAGCCGCGGUAAUACGUAGGGUGCGAGCGUUAAUCGGAAUUAUUGGGCGUAAAGGGUGCGCAGGCGGUUGUGUAAGACAGGUGUGAAAUCCCCGGGCUUAACCUGGGAACUGCGCUUGUGACUGCACGGCUAGAGUGCGGCAGAGGGGGGUGGAAUUCCACGUGUAGCAGUGAAAUGCGUAGAGAUGUGGAGGAACACCGAUGGCGAAGGCAGCCCCCUGGGCCGCAACUGACGCUCAUGCACGAAAGCGUGGGUAGCGAACAGGAUUAGAAACCCGUUAGUCC